GGGCUGUUGGCGCAGUCGGUAGCGCGCCGCUUCGGCAGAGCGGAGGUCGCGGGUUCGAUCCCCGCACGGUCCA
rnacentral:tRNA from 1 species